GAACGGGUGAGUAACACGUACGUAAUCUACAUUUUGUUGAGGGAUAGCUUAGAGAAAUUUAAAUUAAUACCUCAUGAUAUGUUUUUUUCGCAUGAAGAUUACAUUAAAGCAUUUUUAUAAUGCGACCAAAUAUGAGCGUGCGCCUGAUUAGUUUGUUGGUGAGGUAAAUGCUUACCAAGACUAUGAUCAGUAGGGGACCUGAGAGGGUGUACCCCCACAUUGGCACUGAAACACGGGCCAAACUCCUACGGGAGGCAGCAGUGAGGAAUAUUGGUCAAUGGAGGAAACUCUGAACCAGCUACGCCGCGUGCAGGAUUACGGCUUUAACAAGUCUUAAACUGCUUUUGUAUAGGAAUAAAAAAUUCUUUUUAGAAUAUAUUGAAUGUACUAUACGAAUAAGCAUCGGCUAACUCCGUGCCAGCAGCCGCGGUAAUACGGGGGAUGCAAGCGUUAUCCGGAUUUAUUGGGUUUAUAGGGUGCGUAGGCGGUAUAAUAAGUCAAUAGUGAAAUCUUACAGCUUAACUGUAAAACUGCUACUGAUACUAUUAUGCUAGAGUUAGGCGGGAGUAAUCGGAAUAUGUGGUGUAGCGGUAAAAUGCUUAGAUAUCACAUAGAACACCAAUAGCGAAGGCAGAUUACUAUACCUUAACUGACGCUGAGGCACGAAAGCGUGGGGAGCAAACAGGAUUAGAUACCCUGGUAGUCCACGCUGUAAACUAUGAUCACUAAUUAUUGGGUCUUUAGUAUUCAGUGAUUUAGCGAAAGCGAUAAGUGAUCCACCUGGGGAGUACGGUCGCAAGACUGAAACUCAAAGGAAUUGACGGGGGCCCGCACAAGCGGUGGAGCACGUGGUUUAAUUCGAUGGUACGCGAGGAACCUUACCAAGGCUUUAAGGUACUUCGAAUAAUCUAGAAACAGGUUAGUCUUAGGACGGGGUACUAGGUGCUGCAUGGUUGUCGUCAGCUCGUGCCGUGAGGUGUAAGGUUAAGUCCUUUAACGAGCGCAACCCUUAUUGUUAGUUGCCAGCGAGUAAUGUCGGGAACUCUAACAAGACUGCCGAUGUAAAUC
rnacentral:rRNA from 1 species